UAAAACCAUAAUUUUUUUUAGUUCUUAGUGGAAGGCUUUUCUUUAGUUAUGUGUUUCUAUGCAUUUCCAGCAAGUCAUCAUUCGUUCAAUUUAUCUCGAAUUCCUAAGCUACCUUUGUCGGGCCUGCAGGAAUUAAUGGAGCACACCAGCUUUUUAUCCUUAAACUAAGCUUUUGGAUUUUAAGCUUCCUAUUACUUUAACUGUGUUGAGUGUACUCUUUCAAACAGAAUUUGAGUCAUAUUUCUGUCUCUCUGCCUAAUUUCUCCAAAAUUUGUAAAGUAUAUGUGAAUAUUCUCAAUUCGCAGCAACGUGUUUGUAUACAGUCAAGCAGGGUUGCCAGGGCCACUCAAGGAGAGAGAACCCAGAAACCUGGCAUGCCUGCAAAAGGUGUGUUUUCACCAGGUAAAGAAACUUUUUUAUGCUUUAAAUCUUCUGGAAACAUGAGAGAAAGACUGCCUUUGUCAUCCACACUACAAUAAAACUUCAAAAACCUUGGGCUUUGGAUUCAUGGUCUCACAAAUGAGAAGUAUCCCUCCACACUUUUGGAACUGUGCACCCAUUGGAAACCUUGAGAUAAAGCUAACCAGGGAAAUUUCUCCCAAGAAGAAAAUGGCACCUUUGAUGUGAAUAACUUUUCCUAAGUUCACAGAUGAUUAAAACUUUUACUAUCAAA
rnacentral:lncRNA from 1 species